rnacentral:rRNA from 1 species
UACAGAGGGGGCAAGCGUUAUUCGGAAUUAUUGGGCGUAAAGGGCGCGUAGGCGGCUUUGCAAGUGACGGGUGAAAUCCCUCGGCUUAACCGAGGAACUGCCUGUCAAACUGCAUGGCUUGAGACCGGGAGAGGUGAGUGGAAUUCCCAGUGUAGCGGUGAAAUGCGUAGAUAUUGGGAGGAACACCAGUGGCGAAGGCGGCAUCCUGGACCGGCAUUGACGCUGAGGCGCGAAAGCCAGGGGAGCAAACGGG